GCCACAGUGCUGGCCGAGACAUAGUACACAAGGGAAGCAGUCCACUGACCCAUGGCACGGCCAGCCCAAGAGACGGUUUCUCCCGAGUCAAAUCUGCUCUUAACUGUUGGCCCAAUGAUCCUGAUACCCUCCAGUGUUGGCUUCUGUUGCAGGGAAACCUGCAUGUGUUUACAGGAGCUUGAGUCACUGUUGUCGAAAGUCACUGGUGACCAAGAUGUCCGUUAGUUAGGUGUUCUAGAUAAAUUAUAGUAAGCUCAGACAGCGCUGGAGGGAAGGAAUUACAGCUUAGUCCAGGAAACCUCACUCUGCAUUCUUAUGAAAGAAACACUUCCUGAGAAGUCUGGGUCCUGUGUGACUUCAAGCACAAGAUCCGAAAAGGCAGAGAACCAAGUACAGCAGAAAGAUCCCUGGCUCUCAGAGUUAGGGGGUGGGUGAGGGCUGAACAGGCAGAUUUGAAACGCAAGAAAACGUUUCUGUUCUGGUCCUGCAAUGAUUCAUAGGCGCCAUGAUAUAUGUGCUAACAUCUGUAGCAAGAUGUUACAAGAUUGUAACAAGAUCAGUAAGGCCAUAUUUGUAAGCUGUGGAGUAUGAGUGAAGAUAAUGAGUCUGUGUGGCCCAUGGAUGGCGCCAGAUGCGCCUCCCUUAGCUCUAUGAGUAUUUAUCCCCCUCAUUUUUUUGCUACCUCGAAGUUUCUCGCAGGUCCUUCAGACUCAGUCUUUCUUUCUAAAUCCUCGCCUUUAAAAAGUUGCUUCUCAUUCAUACUCGUCUCGUUUCCCCUAUGUGAUGUGGAUCAAAUUAAUUGUGGCAAAUCCUUGCUAAGGAGUUGAUUGGGCUGGUGAGGUGACUCAGCAGGUAGAGAUGCUUGUCCUAGGACUGGCAGCCUGAGUGUGAUCCCUAGGACACACGAGGAGUGGGGGGGGGGGGGGAGCAAGGGAGGGAUGGGAGAACGCUGACUACUAUAAGUGGUCCUCUGAUCCUCACAAGCAUGCAAUGGCACAGACUUGAUACACACAGCGUAGGUGCACAGGCAAAUAGUGCUUGUACAAGGAGGGAGGGCCAGUGGAGGGCCCUGCAUGUGCUCACACGCUAAUCAGUGUUGUCAGCUCAUAUGAAUUGUUUUUCUAUAGGGUCUCACUAUGUAUCUCUGGAUGGCCUGGAACUCACUCUGUAGAUCACAUCGGCCUCUUAACUUCCAGAGAUCUGACUGUCUUCUGUCACUUGAGCGCUAGGAUUAAAGACUGUACCCAGCCCCAGUGUCUUGAUCUUGAUUAUUAAGGAAACCGGCUCACAGGUUCCUCGGCCGUGCUGAGAGUGUGCUGAUGUUCACGGGUUGUCUGUGGAGAAUGCAAAGGUGACUUUAAAUAUCUCAGGGGACAGCUUGCACACGUUUCCAUAUUUCCAUGGACGCCGGCUGGGCUUUUGAUGGUGCCUUCCUCUCGAGACACGGUCCGGGCCUGUCGUUUCAGACUUUAUCUCCUGGCUCCUAACCUUUCCUCUGCAUAGUUCAAAGCUGACUCUAUUGGUUGUGCCUCAAACUUAUGUGUGUACAGGACUUCUGUUUAAAUCACGUUUGACGCUGCCUGAGUCCAUUCUGUGCUUGCAACAGGUCAGCCAUCUCAUACUCUCUAGUUGGGGGUUAGAAACUUUUAAAGCACAUUGGAGUUAGAGCUGUAAUUAGUUAUAUUAGAGGGUUGUUGUGGUUACUGUAGACCUUUAGCUUCUGCUAAUAAGCCCAGGCUUUGAGGAGGUCAGUCCCAUGGCUCCUUCAGUUUCCAUUCUUCCUGCUGUGAGAUUUUGUUUUCAUCUGCCCUCUGUCUGAGAACCACUGGAGAGAGACCCUGCAUCUCUCUCAUACCUUUAUAGGAAGUCUCCGCACCUCCUUGUUUUCUCAGUUUUUAAUACUGGGGUCUGGAGACUUACCCACUUUUGUUUGUAAUCCUGGUCCCUCGGUUUCCUCUGCUGUGUAAGGUUGUCGGUGUCGAGUGUAUUCUUUUCAUCCCGCUCACUGAUUGUUGCCUUGGAUGUUUGGAACAUCUGUUGCUGCUGAUGUUCUGUUUUGCCUCAGCUACAUACGUAAAUGUCUAUGACAUGUGUCAAGUAGCACAUCCUAUUCUAAAAAUAAACCGCAGGGGGAUAGAUAGGCCGGCGGCAGAACCCGCACGGAGCAUGUCUAAGACCCCCAUCUUGACUCCCAGAACCC
rnacentral:lncRNA from 1 species